UGGCAAGCGUUAUCCGGAAUUAUUGGGCGUAAAGCGCGCGUAGGCGGUUCAUUAAGUCUGAUGUGAAAGCCCCCGGCUCAACCGGGGAGGGUCAUUGGAAACUGGUGGACUUGAGUGCAGAAGAGGAGAGUGGAAUUCCAUGUGUAGCGGUGAAAUGCGCAGAGAUAUGGAGGAACACCAGUGGCGAAGGCGGCUCUCUGGUCUGUAACUGACGCUGAUGUGCGAAAGCGUGGGGAUCAAACAGGAUUAGAUACCCUGGUAGUCCACGCCGUAAACGAUGAGUGCUAAGUGUUAGGGGGUUUCCGCCCCUUAGUGCUGCAGCUAACGCAUUAAGCACUCCGCCUGGGGAGUACGACCGCAAGGUUGAAACUCAAAGGAAUUGACGGGGACCCGCACAAGCGGUGGAGCUUGUGGUUUAAUUCGAAGCAACGCGAAGAACCUUACCAAAUCUUGACAUCCUCUGACCGGCUAAGAGAUUAGCCUUCCCUUCGGGGCAGAGUGACAGGUGGUGCAUGGUUGUCGUCAGCUCGUGUCGUGAGAUGUAGGGUUAAGUCCCGCAACGAG
rnacentral:rRNA from 1 species